UACGUAGGGUGCAAGCGUUGUCCGGAAUUAUUGGGCGUAAAGAGCUCGUAGGCGGUCUGUCGCGUCUGCUGUGAAACCUGGGCUAACCCCGGCUGCAGUGGGUACGGGCGGGCUAGAGUUCGGUAGGGGAGACUGGAAUUCCUGGUGUAGCGGUGAAAUGCGCAGAUAUCAGGAGGAACACCGGUGGCGAAGGCGGGUCUCUGGGCCGAUACUGACGCUGAGGAGCGAAAGCGUGGGGAGCGAACAGG
rnacentral:rRNA from 1 species